UGAGGAUGAAUCCUAAUGACUUUGGUGAUCCCCGACGUUUCCCCUACCACCACCUUGAGGUUUGCAUUUGUGGUUAUGUUGUUUUGUGU